rnacentral:sRNA from 1 species
UUUUGAGUUUAAACCACAGCGAUUAACUUUUCAUUGAAAAAUAGAGAAACACUCUUCAUAUCAAAACUUAAGCUAAAACUUACAAAUUUUUAAAUUAAUUUUGAAAAGAAGGUAGCAUUCCAUCUAGGAUUCAACACUGCUAAUUGUGUUUGCACAACGCUUAUAUGUUUGAAGUGUCACAGAUAUCGAUUUUCUGAGUCCUUUGACCAGGUUCCCCAGUUCACAGCUAGGGAAGGUUUGCUGGCCUUUGUUGCUGCUGUGUGAGUCCGCUCAGAGAAGUGGGUCAGGAUACACGCAGGCAUAUUUUUAUCUUUCAUUCGAAUACUUGUAAAAUUUCAAAAGUGUGUCUGAAGAACAUCAUGAGUUUAUUAUGUCGACCAGCUAAAACGUUAUUCUAAUCGCAUUUAUUGAAUUAAUGGCGCAUUUGUUCGCGCAUGUGUAACCUUGUGAGUUUCUCCGCUGAGUUAAAAGAUUUAAAACAGUUUUAUAGCCCUCUUAGAGAAGACGUAAUGUAAUGCUGUCUGUCAUUUUUCCAUAUUAAGUGGUUUAAUCACGGGAGCUGACAUCAAUUGAGUAAGCCGUCGGAAUGGAGACCACAAGCAGCAUAGUGGCUUGAUUAGACAACCCCUGAAAAGCUGCAAUUUACCUUGGCCAGUUGAGCGGCACUAGCCGGCCCACAUGUCCAUACAUUAUUCAUACCCAUCAUUCAUUAUAUAUAGUUAAUGGCAUGCAUAUGGCCUGGAUUUUCUGGUUUGCUAACUAUUCCGUCCCUAAAAAUAGACUCCCGAUUGUCAAGCCACAUGUCGGCUUUUGUUUCAGAGACCGUGAGCCCUGUACAAUGGAGCAAGCAUCCGUGAAAAUCGCUGGGUACCAGUUCAGCUGAGGUUAACUGGGGUUUCCCCUGCAUCCAUCAGUCGGUGGUAUGAAUUUAUUAAAAAUGCGAAACAGGAAUCAGCAUCAGGUUUUUUGUUUUUUAAAGCCUAAGUCACAACAUGAAAAAGAUUGGGAGUUAAUAUUUCUGAAAAACAAACAAAAAAAAGUGACCAUCAGGGCUAUGAGAAGAUGCUCCGUGGUGAGGACUCGGGCAAGGAUGAGGGAAGAUGGCUGCUCUCGCGGAACGUCUGACGACAGCAUGUGCCGGGCUGCCUUUGUUGAAGGAAAGACUUCUUUCUCAGAUCUUUCUUGGAUGUAGUUUGCUAUCAUAUUUUGGAAGGAGAGCUGUCUGUCUGUCUGUUCACAAGUAAGUCCUAUAGGAUUGAAGGCCAGGUAAGGCAAGAACGAAGAGGAAUCUGAGGGGAGCCGUCGACUGGAAGCCAUUGCGCAGGCGCACAGUCAUUUCCAUUGACCCGGUUGCAGGAUACCAGACCUUGCUCCUCCAUUGAAGAAAGCCUCAUUUGGACAGAGUGGCACCGUGAUUGAAACCUUUUACGACAAUUACUGUGAGAGGGGGAAACAGGAUGCAGCAUCAUGCUUUCCAUACGCCAGGACAAAAAUCUCUUAUUUCUGAAUCAGAAGAUAAUUAAAAACAUUGAAUGGGCCAUACUUUAUUUCUCUGGCUCUCAUUUAAAAGAAACAACCAAAAGCUCCAUUGGUUAAUAUAAUUCUUUUCUACAUUCCAUUUACAAAACAGUCUCUGCUCACCUCUACUUGGAAUUUAUUUGUCGGUUCCAGGAAUAUUUGUUGAACACAUGGUACAAUGAAGGACUUCUUUUUCUCUGACGGGAUGUCCUAGGACAGAUAGUGGCUUCAAUGAGAAUAUCCUCUCCCAUGGGCUCAUAUGUUUAAGUACUUGGUCUCUCAUUGGUGGAACUGCUUGGGGAGAAUUAGAAGAUUAGACCCAGUGUGUCACUGAGGGUAGGCUCUGAGGCUUCAAAAGAUUAGUACCAUUCCCAGUGUCUCUCUCUUCUUCGUAGUGAUGAAUCAAGAUCUUGAGUUCUCAGCUGUUCUUUUGGUCCGCCGUUAUGUACCGUAACCCUCUGAAACAGUAAGCCAAAUUAAACAUUUUAGUUUAUAA